GUGGAAACGAGAAUAAAACGUGAAGGAUAACGUUGCGUCAGCAACGGCCCGUAGGGCGAGGCGAAGCCGAGUCAUCCUGCACGACCCACCA
rnacentral:sRNA from 1 species